UACGUAGGGUGCGAGCGUUAAUCGGAAUUACUGGGCGUAAAGGGUGUGUAGGCGGUUGUUUAAGUUUGGUGUGAAAUCUCCCGGCUCAACUGGGAGGGUGCGCCGAAUACUGAAUGACUAGAGUGUGGGAGAGGUGAGUGGAAUUCCUGGUGUAGCGGUGAAAUGCGUAGAUAUCAGGAGGAACACCGGUGGUGUAGACGGCUCACUGGACCAUAACUGACGCUGAGACACGAAAGCGUGGGUAGCAAACAGG
rnacentral:rRNA from 1 species